GCCCCAGUAAACGGCGGCCGUAACGAUAACGGUCCUAAGGUAGCGAAAUUCCUUGUCGGGUAAGUUCCGACCUGCACGAAUGGCGUAACGAUGGCCACACUGUCUCCUCCUGAGACUCAGCGAAGUUGAAAUGUUUGUGAUGAUGCAAUCUCCCCGCGGAAAGACGGAAAGACCCCAUGAACCUUUACUGUAGCUUUGUAUUGGACUUUGAACAGAUCUGUGUAGGAUAGGUGGGAGGCUUUGAAGCAGGCACGCCAGUGUCUGUGGAGCCAUCCUUGAAAUACCACCCUGGUAAUGUUGGGGUUCUAACUCAAGCUUAACAGAGCUGAGGACAAUGUAUGGUGGGUAGUUUGACUGGGGCGGUCUCCUCCUAAAGAGUAACGGAGGAGUACGAAGGUGCGCUCAGACCGGUCGGAAAUCGGUCGUAGAGUAUAAAGGCAAAAGCGCGCUUGACUGCGAGACAGACACGUCGAGCAGGUACGAAAGUAGGUCUUAGUGAUCCGGUGGUUCUGUAUGGAAGGGCCAUCGCUCAACGGAUAAAAGGUACUCCGGGGAUAACAGGCUGAUACCGCCCAAGAGUUCAUAUCGACGGCGGUGUUUGGCACCUCGAUGUCGGCUCAUCUCAUCCUGGGGCUGUAGCAGGUCCCAAGGGUAUGGCUGUUCGCCAUUUAAAGAGGUACGUGAGCUGGGUUUAAAACGUCGUGAGACAGUUUGGUCCCUAUCUGCCGUGGGCGUUGGAAGUUUGAGAGGGGCUGCGCCUAGUACGAGAGGACCGGCGUGGACGCACCACUGGUGUACCGGUUGUCACGCCCGUGGCAUUGCCGGGUAGCUAAGUGCGGAAGAGAUAACCGCUGAAAGCAUCUAAGCGGGAAACUCGCCUCAAGAUGAGACUUCCCUGACAUGAAAGUGUCCUGAAGGGCCGUCCGAGACUAGGACGUUGAUAGGCUGGGUGUGGAAGCGCAGUAAUGCGUGAAGCUAAUCAGUACUAAUUGCCCGUGCGGCUUGACCCU
rnacentral:rRNA from 1 species